AUACGGAGGGGGCCAGCGUUGUUCGGAUUUAUUGGGCGUAAAGGGCGCGUAGGCGGUCAAGCAAGUCAGUUGUGAAAUCCCCUGGCUUACCCAGGGACCUGCUUCUGAAACUGCUUGACUUGAGUCCGGGAGAGGAGAGUGGAAUUCCCAGUGUAGCGGUGGAAUGCGUAGAUAUUGGGAGGAACACCAGUGGCGAAGGCGGCUCUCUGGACCGGUACUGACGCUGAGGCGCGAAAGCUAGGGGAGCAAACAGGAUUAGAAACCCCGGUAGUCC
rnacentral:rRNA from 1 species